UCGGGAAUUUUGGGCAAUGGGCGAAAGCCUGAUCCAGCAAUGCCGCGUGCAGGAAGAAGGCCUUCGGGUUGUAAACUGCUUUUGUACGGAACGAAAAGGCUCUUUCUAAUAAAGAGGGCCCAUGACGGUACCGUAAGAAUAAGCACCGGCUAACUACGUGCCAGCAGCCGCGGUAAUACGUAGGGUGCGAGCGUUAAUCGGAAUUACUGGGCGUAAAGCGUGCGCAGGCGGUUCUAUAAGACAGAUGUGAAAUCCCCGGGCUCAACCUGGGAAUGGCAUUUGUGACUGUAGAGCUAGAGUACGGUAGAGGGGGAUGGAAUUCCGCGUGUAGCAGUGAAAUGCGUAGAUAUGCGGAGGAACACCGAUGGCGAAGGCAAUCCCCUGGACCUGUACUGACGCUCAUGCACGAAAGCGUGGGGAGCAAACAGGAUUAGAUACCCACGUAGUCCCUGAGCGGGCUGGCAAGGCGCAU
rnacentral:rRNA from 1 species